rnacentral:rRNA from 1 species
UGCAGUCGAGCGGUAGAGAGAAGCUUGCUUCUCUUGAGAGCGGCGGACGGGUGAGUAAUGCCUAGGAAUCUGCCUGGUAGUGGGGGAUAACGUUCGGAAACGAACGCUAAUACCGCAUACGUCCUACGGGAGAAAGCAGGGGACCUUCGGGCCUUGCGCUAUCAGAUGAGCCUAGGUCGGAUUAGCUAGUUGGUGAGGUAAUGGCUCACCAAGGCGACGAUCCGUAACUGGUCUGAGAGGAUGAUCAGUCACACUGGAACUGAGACACGGUCCAGACUCCUACGGGAGGCAGCAGUGGGGAAUAUUGGACAAUGGGCGAAAGCCUGAUCCAGCCAUGCCGCGUGUGUGAAGAAGGUCUUCGGAUUGUAAAGCACUUUAAGUUGGGAGGAAGGGCAUUAACCUAAUACGUUAGUGUUUUGACGUUACCGACAGAAUAAGCACCGGCUAACUCUGUGCCAGCAGCCGCGGUAAUACAGAGGGUGCAAGCGUUAAUCGGAAUUACUGGGCGUAAAGCGCGCGUAGGUGGUUUGUUAAGUUGGAUGUGAAAUCCCCGGGCUCAACCUGGGAACUGCAUUCAAAACUGACUGACUAGAGUAUGGUAGAGGGUGGUGGAAUUUCCUGUGUAGCGGUGAAAUGCGUAGAUAUAGGAAGGAACACCAGUGGCGAAGGCGACCACCUGGACUAAUACUGACACUGAGGUGCGAAAGCGUGGGGAGCAAACAGGAUUAGAUACCCUGGUAGUCCACGCCGUAAACGAUGUCAACUAGCCGUUGGAAGCCUUGAGCUUUUAGUGGCGCAGCUAACGCAUUAAGUUGACC